rnacentral:misc_RNA from 1 species
UACAUUUCAUAUAUUUGUGUUUUGAGUUUAUAAUAAAUCAAGUUUAGGUAAGAAUUCCCUAAUAAGUAAAAUAAAAUAUGUUGAAAAGAGUAUAUCGUAGAUCCAAAGUAUAAACAUGUGGCUAUAUCCUAUUUUAUAUGUAGGUUGUAUCAUAUAUAUAUAUAUAUGUUGUGUUUUAAAUUUAAGAUAGACCACUCAUUUUUUAUCAUUUGUAUGAGAAUUUUUAUCAUCUAUUGUAAAUCUAAAACACAUAUGGCAUCACAUGUUGAGAAACAUAUAUUUAUACAUCGAUAAUGCAGGGGAUGUGGAGCCUACCUCAUCUUCAAGCCCAUUAA